rnacentral:sRNA from 1 species
AGCCCGGCUAGGGCGGUGACCAUGUUGC